GCCACCACUUCUUCUAAAUCCUGAACCAGCUCCGCCCUCCUAUCACUGGCCUGCCCACUCCUGCUCACGGGGACCUCACUUCUUACCUUGUCCCUGGGGAGCCAGCCUGGCCCGCGGGAUGUCACUGCUGGAGGCCGUCAUCUUCUCAUCUCUCUGGGCCUUUGGCCUUGGGCAGGAGAAACUGGAACAACCUGAAAUAUCAAUUUCCCGAGCAAGGGGGAAGAGUGCACACGUAUCGUGCAAGAUGUCCACUGAGGUCAUCAACAGAGCCAUACACUGGUGCCGGCAGAAGCCAGACCAAGAGAUAGAACAUCUAACACUCGUCUCAACACAGCCCGUUCGAGUUUCUUUAGGAGGGAAGAGCGACAAGCUUGAGGCAAGUAAAAACGCUCACACUUCCACUGCAACCUUGAAAAUAAAUUUCUUAGAGCAAGAAGAUGAGGCCGUGUACUUCUGUGCCUCCUGGGACUGGAGCCACAGCACCAGAGUUGCCAGGAGAAGCUGCACAAGAACCGUGCUCGGGUCUGGGUCCACCCACAUCCUUCUCCACAUGGGCAACCACAGAGGCCGCACAGCCCGGUGCCCAGCCGGAGCCUCUCCCUCUGCUCUAGUUCCUGACCUUUGCAGGGAGACACUGUAGAUUCUGCUCGCACAGCGAGCCCCACGUGAUACCAGCAAUGACGGUCCCCGCGAAAGCAGUUUGACACUGGUUCCCGCUGGAUUCAGCUGUCUGGGAACUCUGAAGACACAGGGUGGAUGGAUCAGGGAAAAAUCCAUGUGUCUGUUAAUUCACUGUAGAGACAGAGGUUUCUAGCACCCGAGUGGCUCAGAAUGAAGAGAGGAAAGGACAUAAAUACUUCCUGUCAUUUUUACCUUCUGAUUUAAUUCACGGGCAUUACAGUUCUUCACAGGUGGAAUGAUCUGUCAGACAUAAUAACUGAGGCCAUCCUGAAGGAAUCUAGUGACCGUGAAACCAUGAAGUAAGCAACCAGCUCUUUGGGGAAUAGGAGACACCAAGGUAUAAAUUCUGUAUCCUGGAGAGAUAGACAGUGCCUCACUCCACAUCCAGGGAUCGAUACGGGGACAAAACCAGAGAUGUACUUUUAAACAGCCCUGAGCACUUCACAUGCUUCCAACAUGGCGGAUAUGCCUCCAAGACUUAGUUCUCCAGGGUUCUACAAAUAGAAAGAAAGAUCCUGAAUAAGAAUCAGAUUGGUAACAAUAUAGAUAAUACACGGUCUCUACAUCUGUAAAGAAGAGAAAGGCAUGUCCUUCACACAUCAAUAAAACACAAAAUGAUUAUUGAGAAUUGAAAUCUGUGAUUAGUAACUGGAUGGCUAUGAGUUUUCAAAAAUAAGGAAACACACUGUGUUAUGUGUGAAGCUAUAAAACUCCCUCUCUUGGGGCGCCCAGGUGGCUCAGUCAUUUGAGCAUCAGACUUGAUUUCAGCUCAGGUCAUGAUCAAAGGUCGUGAGAUGGAACCCUGAGUUAAGCUCCACACUGGACACGAGCCUGCUUAGGAUUCUCUCUCUCCCUCUCUCUCUGACCCUCCCUCACUUGAGCUCUCUCUCUCUCUCUCUCAAGAAAAACAAAAACAAAAAAACCCCAACUCCUCUCCCACCUCUUUAGAGUUCACUGUCAAGGAUGAGAAAAAAACCUUUACUUGGCAAAAAUUUUGGUACCUUUGGUAAAUGUGAACAUCUGAAUACAUAAUUGCCAUGCACUUUAUCCCUGCUUCCUGAGAUAAUGACAACACAUUCAUUCUGCUUCUCUUUCUAAGGAUCAGGUGCUUCUAUCACGUGCAGAGAGGCCACGGAAACUGAAUGUCUUCCUUUCCAGGGGCAAACUCCGGAUCCUGUGUCCCACUUUCUGUCCAUCAUGAUUCCUGACAGUGGUGGGUCCCCAGCUGGAGGACCCGCAGGGCCUGGGUCUCAAAGGGUCUCACCUGUCCCCUAACAUCUACAGAAGCAACAGUAGGAAGAUCCCUGAAGGGAAUACAGAGUCAGAGAAUGUGAACCAUUUCCAGAAAGAAGGGGAUGAAAAGAAGUACCUAGCUUCUUAUCAUAUCUGUGUCAAAUGCUUUACACAGAUUAUAUCACUUAAUAAUGAGAAGAGCAGGGCAGAAUUCACCUGAAGUGGCCCCACGGAGACUGAUCUCAGGAGGGAGAGCCACCCUGACUUUUCAACACAAAACGACCAGGAACCCCUACAGUGGUGACAGGAGGGAAAGGGGCCAUCAUCUAUGAGAACUUGAAGUGACAAAAUAUUAUGGAGCCAUUAAAAACAUGUUUUUUGGAUCAACUAUAAGAACCUGGAACAUAUUCACCACAUAUUCAAGGAAAAGGUUAAACACAGA